UUACUCGGAAUCACUGGGCGUAAAGAGCAUGUAGGCGGGUGAAUAAGUUGGAAGUGAAAUCCUAUAGCUUAACUAUAGAACUGCUUCCAAAACUGUUCACCUAGAGUAUGGGAGAGGUAGAUGGAAUUUCUGGUGUAGGGGUAAAAUCCGUAGAGAUCAGAAGGAAUACCGAUUGCGAAGGCGAUCUACUGGAACAUUACUGACGCUCAGAUGCGAAAGCGUGGGGAGCAAACAGGAUUAGAUACCCUGGUAGUCCACGCCCUAAACGAUGUACACUAGUUGUUGCUAUACUAGAUAUGGCAGUAAUGCAGUUAACACUUUAAGUGUACCGCCUGGGGAGUACGGUCGCAAGAUUAAAACUCAAAGGAAUAGACGGGGACCCGCACAAGCGGUGGAGCAUGUGGUUUAAUUCGACGAUACGCGAAAACCUUACCUGGCCUUGACAUAGUAGGAAUCUUUAAGAGAUUAGAGAGUGCUAGCUUGCUAGAACCUACAUACAGGUGCUGCACGGCUGUCGUCAGC
rnacentral:rRNA from 1 species